AAACCCGGACCAAGGAGUCUAACAUGCGUGCGAGUCUAAGGGCGUUCUGUUGCAAACCCCGAAGGCGAAAUGAAAGUGAAGGACGUCUGGCUGGGGACCUCGGUCCUCCCGGUCCCUCUCCUUGGCAGGAUCCCGGCCCUCUGGGGUCGGGCGCACUGCCGGCCCGUCCCACGGCCCACUGGUGGCGCGCGGCUGGGUUGGGGGAGCGGAAACGCUCCUCUUUCUCCGGCUGUGUCCUCCUUACGGGUCGGACGGAGCUUGAGCACGCACGUUGGGACCCGAAAGAUGGUGAACUAUGCCUGGUCAGGACGAGGCCAGAGGAAACUCUGGUGGAAGUCCGUAACGAUUCUGACUGCGCAAAUCGAUCGUUGGACCUGGAUAUGGGGGCGAAAGACUAAUCCAACCAUCUACUACCUGG
rnacentral:rRNA from 1 species